UACGAAGGGGGCUAGCGUUGUUCGGAAUUACUGGGCGUAAGGCGCGCGUAGGCGGCGCGACAAGUCAGAGGUGAAAUCCCGAAGCUCAACUUCGGAACUGCCUUUGAAACUGUCGUGCUGGAAUCUCAGAGGGGAUAGCGGAAUUCCAAAUGUAGGGGUGAAAUCCGUAGAUAUUUGGAGGAACACCGGUGGCGAAGGCGGCUAUCUGGAUGAGUAUUGACGCUGAGGCGCGAAAGCGUGGGGAUCAAACAGG
rnacentral:rRNA from 1 species